rnacentral:piRNA from 1 species
GCUGCGAGCUGGAACGUUCUUUU